rnacentral:rRNA from 1 species
AUGAACGCUAGCGGCAGGCUUAACACAUGCAAGUCGAGGGGCAACACGGGUAGCAAUACCUGGUGGCGACCGGCGCAAGGGUGCGUAACGCGUGAGCAACAUGCCCUAUACAGGGGGAUAAUCCAGGGAAACUUGGUCUAAUAUCCCAUAGUAUUUAGAGGUGGCAUCACCACUAAAUUAAAGCUUCGGUGGUAUAGGAUUGGCUCGCGUGACAUUAGCUGGAUGGUGGGGUAACGGCUCACCAUGGCGAUGAUGUCUAGGGGGUUCUGAGAGGAAGACCCCCCACACUGGGACUGAGACACGGCCCAGACUCCUACGGGAGGCAGCAGUGAGGAAUAUUGGACAAUGGAUGGAAAUCUGAUCCAGCCAUGCCGCGUGCAGGAAGACGGCCCUAUGGGUUGUAAACUGCUUUUAUAUGGGAGCAAUAAGGUUUACGCGUAGACCGAUGAGAGUACCAUAUGAAUAAGCAUCGGCUAACUCCGUG